GUAGCGUCCACGCAGGCAGGUCCGGAAACUGAGCAUGUGUGGAAGCGCUCGGCGGCCUCGGCGGCGGCGCGGGCAGAGCCGGGCUGCGUCAGGCUGAGCCCAUUCACCGCGCGGCCGNCGCGGCCGCAGGAGCGCAGCGCCGGCGCCGCGCCGCCCAGCCCCGCCGAGAGGGGCGCACUCGCCGCCGCGGGGCCCGCCGCCGCUCACCGCAGCCCCCUCCUGGCGACCCGCAAGUAAGUUUGUAAGGUGGUUGGGCGGUGGGGCGAGGGCUUGGCGUCCGGGGGAGCCCAGGCUGGCAGGCGGGAGGCAUGGUUGGCCGCUGGCCCCGGUGCCCGGCGUCCCGGCGUCCCGGCGUCCCGGCGUCCCGGCGAGCCGCUUGGCCAAUUUGAUAGCGGGCGGCCACUGGGAUGCUGGAGCAGGGGGGACCGGCAAAGCAGGAGGGCCGAACCGACUCUGGCGGGGGCCGAGGGGCCCAACUUGGGGAGAGGGAAGGACCGCGCGGCGAGGGAGAGGAUCGGGCAGGCCGGGAAGGCGGGCUGGUGUGGGAUGGAGAGGCUGGGUUUGGGAUGCGGGCGCCCCGCCGAGAAGAGCCGCAGAGGGAAAGCGGGGUGUCUCCGGGGGGUUAGGGUGGGAUGAGCGUGAGAGCGCAGUAUGGGGGGCAUGGUAGGGGGUGAGCGUGUCCAGGUCGGAGCGGCAGAGGGAAGAUGGAUGAAAACUGGGGCGCGUGGAAAGCGGAUUUGAACGAGAGCAGAGGACGCAGGUGGAAGGGACAGUAGGUUCCGGAGAAACGAGUAUACCCGGAUAAUUUGGGGGAAUUAGUGCCAGGUUGAGGGCGAUAUAAUGAUUAGAGAGGCAGCCUUGAAUCGAGGUCUUUGGAGUGAGUGAGUAUGCGAGGCCACAUGUUGGGAACCGUCUGGAGAGAGAGGAUGGAUGCAGAAAGUGGCCUGGAACGGCCAGCUGGAAAAUCGUUGAGGGAUUUGGGUGAAGGGGAGGAGGGCAGCGGUGCAGAGAUCGGGUGGAGGAACUGGGCUGCUGCUGGAGCCAAAAGGCUCAGGAAGGGGUUGGAGGCUACGUGCGGUCCGCCUGAAUACUGACUUAGUAGCGGUUCUCUGAGGUUCACUUGCACCCCAGGCUCCUCCUCCUUCUCCUACCUGGCUUGGUCCCAGGGCGGCUUGCUUUAGGCGAGCUAGUAGGAGAUUUGGACAGAUAAGGCAGCCGGGAAGGUAGUCAUUUGCACGGGAACUGCCAGGGCUUCCCUUAAGUGGUUCCCGGCACCCUGGGGAUGUAAUGUAGAGUCGGAAUGUGUGUGUUGCAGGGCGGUGGAGAGGAGUGGUCGCUUCUGGGCCAAAAGAAUCCGUGUUCUGGCCCGGGAGGUGAGAUGUUUUGGGCUGGGAAGUCAGGCAGAAGUCUGCGGCGUGCAACUCGCGGCGGGGCGUGUGUGCGCGCGUGUGUGCGUGUUGCCUGCCCAGGGUCGCGUCUGUUGCUGCAGUCUGUUUCCAUGACGAGGAGAUCCUGGAAUCCACAGGCAGCACGGGGAGGGGAUUAAGGGAAACGUGUUUUCCUACGUCUCUUCUAUCUCCUUUCUCCAGGGUCACAUUCUUCGCUCGUCCAAUGAUGCGCCUUUCUAACCUCUCCCCCCUGCCGUCGCACACCCCGAACCUGGCGCGGGUCUAGUCCUCUGAUUUGGUACCCCGAGGAGGAGGCGGCGGUCCCUUAUGUGCGGGAGGGUAUCCUAGGAGUCCCCGUGAUUCAGAGAGGCUCCUGAGUCCUCGGGUCCUUACCUGGGGCGUCGCUCCGGGGGUCCGCAGUUCACUCUGCUGCCCCUGCAGGUGACGCGGUGAUGUUGCCCCACGGACUCCGGAAGCGUGAUGGCUACAAAUGGCCUUUGGGGCCCGAGAAUCCCUGCAGAGUGACCAACACUCGCAGGUUUUCGAGAGCAGGGGUCUUCCCUGGGUUCCCCGCGUAUAAAUGUAACUUAACAAGAAAAAGAUCAGAUUAAUAGAAUAAACCAGCAUCUCACUCAAAAGGCUUUAUGCAAAAACGCCUCUUUCACUAGGAGAGAUUUCACCCACCAACUGCAAGAAGGGAAAGAGCUUCUGCAGCGUACAGGAUGGAAAUCUGGGGUGGGGGUGGGGGGAAACAGGAGCUGUCAUCAUGUCCGUGGCUUCUCAGACUCCAUCCAGCUUGCUUUGCUCUGUCGUCGUUGCCAUAUUUUUAGAGAGGCUUUACCGGAUGUGGGGAAAUGAGGAUGAAGGUGACUCUUGCAACCUGUGUCACCUGUGAAAGGACUCAAAAGAAGAAGAGUGACCAUUGUGCCUAUGGUCUGUGGAUAUCUAAGAGGGAUGGGUUCUGACGUUGUUGUGCAACCAUCAGAAAUAGUUCCCACAUCCACAUUGCAGGGGGGAGACUCAGAUGAAGGGCAGUGAGAAUUCUCCAAGAAAGUGAUAAGGCUCAUGGUGUAGGUUGUCACAGGGUGAUCACUGACCCAUGGAGGCACACAGCAAAAAGGACAGCAAGCUUCUAAUGGCCAGGCCACGGCCUCAUAUUCCAUGUGACCAUGGCUUUCUCAGUUUCUAGCAUAGUCCUUUUGAAAUAUGUCCAUGAUUCUGGCAUCUGAAAGGUGGAGGGUUGAAUAAAGACUUAAUGAUGUCAGUUUUCACUUCUAUUACUGUUCCCCCCCUUUGAUGAUGAUUAUUAGAACAUGUGGUGAAGAUAAAAUAAAUUAUUUUUACCCAUUAAUUCUCCCUGAAGUGCUGUUCAGAUAAAACAUAACCUUAUA
rnacentral:lncRNA from 1 species